AGAAAAACGGACUAGUUAACUGCUACGAGUCCACUGUCUGCCAAUUGCUUUCUAUCCAUCACCAACACAACAUUGCUUCCUCAAUACAAAGAGAUCGCGGAAUCAUAGGCGCAUGGUGAUUUCAUUUUUGCCACCACGGAGCUGUCCAACGUGCUGAAACAUGAAUCAAAGUGCAGGAGUAGCCCAGACCGUUCGUCGUCACUCAUCCGUUGACAAGGGUUUGCCAGAUAUAGGUCCCGAUAGGAACUGGAAAGGUAUCGCAAUCUCUCUGCUGGUCAUCGUGGGCGUGUUGUCGCUCAUCGGACUGUCCAUCAUUCUUCUGUCCAAAAAUGAUGGGUCAAAGUCUCUAGGCACACAUUUGACACUGGAUGACCUCUUUGAACGAGAGUUCCAAGUUCAUGACCCUGAAGCAAAGUGGAUCAAUGAUGAGGAGAUCAUUUUCAGGACCUGGCAUGGGGAUGUGGUCAUAGCCAACACACAGAGCAACGAGACAGACAUCCUACUGAAAAACACAACAUUUGCAACAUUUAAGGCCUCCAAAUUUGCGGUUUCUCCAGAUCGCAACUAUGUUCUUCUUGGUUAUGACGUGAAACAGGUGUACCGGCACUCUUUCCUGGCAUCCUACUUGAUAUACAACCUCCAUACAAGGGAGGUACGGGAGCUGAACCCUCCAGAGGUUUUUGACUCAGUCCUGCAGUUUGCUUCCUGGGGUGUCCGGGACCAACAGCUGGUGUAUGUAUUUGAAAACAACAUUUACUAUCAGACAGAUGUCAAAAGCAGUUCAUGGAGACUGACGUCCUCAGGACAAGAAGGAAAGGUCUUCAAUGGCAUCGCUGAUUGGUUAUAUGAAGAGGAAGUGCUGCACUCACAAGUGGGUCAUUGGUGGUCCCCUGAUGGGUCCCGGCUAGCCUACCUCACUCUCAAUGACACCCUGGUACCUAACAUGCUCCUGCCUCGCUUCACAGGCUCCCUGUACCCCAGGGGCCAACAUUACCCUUACCCCAAGGUGGGACAGGUCAAUCCCACUGCUAAGCUUUUUGUCAUCACCUUGGAUGGUGGGUCACAGACAACUGAACUGGAACCUCCAAACAGCUUUGAGAAAAGUGACUUCUACAUUACCAUGGUUAAAUGGGUCACAGAAGAAAAGAUUGCUGUGCGCUGGUUAAAUCGAGCCCAGAACACCUCCAUUCUGUCACUGUGUGAGGUCACUAUGGGGGCAUGUGUGAAGAAACAUAUUAUGACAUCAGAUAAGUGGCUUGAUCGUCAGAAUGAAGAGCCAGUGUUUUCCAAAAAUGGGAAUACCUUCUUCUUUUCCAUGCCAAUAAAACAUGGUGGGCGUGGAUCAUUCAACCAUAUCGCCAUGAUAUCUGACCAGCUGCUGUGGCUGUUUCGUCUCGUGUCUGCACAGUUCAGUGGCAACGAGGUCAACAUGCGUCACCUAACCUCUGGCAGCUGGGAGGUGUCUCAGAUUCUGGCAUACGAUGAGAAAGUGGAUACAGUCUAUUUCCUUAGCACGGAAGAUGGUUCAACACAAAGGCAACUUUACAGGGUACUGGCAGUGGACCCAUUUCAACGUGAAUGCCUGACCUGCUCGCUGUUCAAACCACAGUGCUCCUAUUAUAAUGCAGUCUUCAGCCCAGACUAUCAGUAUGUCCUGCUUAACUGUAAAGGUCCUGACAUACCCAUAACCACCCUUCACAAAAUAAGUGACAUGAGUAAGAAUGAGACUUUGGAGAAGAACAAAGUCCUAAGAGAUGCUCUGCUAUAUAGGAAUAUUCCAAGGAAAGACAUCAGAAUCCUUCAAAUCAACAACUUUGCACUACGUCUGCAGCUGACCUUACCAAGAGAUUUUGAUGAGGCCACAGAACACCCACUUCUGCUAAUACUGGACAGUGCCCCUGGUGACCAAGCAGUGAGUGACCGUUUUGUCCUGGACUGGGACUCGGUUCUGGUCAGCUCAGAUAACAUCAUUGUGGCUCGUCUGGACGGCAGGGGGAGUGGUUUCCUAGGCCAGAGGGUUCUACAUGAGGUCCACCAGCGUUUAGGAACAGUGGAGGUUCAGGACCAAGUCGCAGCAGUAGAGAUCCUGGCCAAGCUGCCAUAUGUAGAUGGAAACAAAGUUGCAGUUUAUGGAAAGGCUUAUGGGGGUUUCCUGAGCUCACUACUACUUCUGUCUUUCGGCUCCUUGUUCAAGUGUGGGGUCGCUGUCGCUCCUGUGACAGACUGGAGACUCUACGGUUCAGCUUUCACUGAGCGUUACUUUGGAUUCCCAGUCAAAGAUGAGCGCAAAUACCAACUCUCCAGUCUGCUUCCUAACAUCACAGGCACAAGUCAUCUGAAGUUCCUCAUAAUCCAUGGAACAGCAGAUGCCACCAUUCAUUUCCAGCAUUCUGCUGAGCUCGUGAAACUACUGUCAAUAUCAAACAUUAACUACACUCUGCAGAUUUUCCCAGACGAGGGCCAUAACAUUGACGCAGUGAAGAGCCGGCACUACAUGCUCAACUCCAUAAUGACCUUCUUCAGGGAAUGUUUCCUAGAGGAAGCCCCUGUUGAUCCUUCUGCGUCUAAAGAGGAGGACUAGGAUGGCCGUGACUCACCUUAGUUUUGUAGCACAUAUUGCUACUGAAAAUGCAAUAGCAUGACUGCACUAUGACUUGCUUUUCUGAGGAACCACGAAAGAUGUAGGGCAAUGUGGAGAUCAGGGUCAGGCAGUGUUGCUGCACUCUGUGAAGUGCGAUGAAUGGCUAAGAAGAGAUUGAAGUUGUAAUUUUCGUGUAAAGUGAUGUGUAAUUUUUCUUACUGCUAUGAUCCCACAACAGUGCCAGUUGGAAAUUCUAGCUUGUUAUAAAGGUCUACCAGUGACCUACAAAAUAUCACAGGUACACAGCAUGGUAGAGAUUCAAUGCCAUGGUCAAAAGUGAAGGGAAAAUUGUUGAAGUUUUUUUAUAGGAAAGGUAUGAUGUUGUCUUCAUUCUUUAAGAUUUGAGAGUGUGAAGGAGAGAUGUGUUUAUUUUUCAGUUCAGACGUAUAUUGUUAUUUUCAGAUUGCUGUCACCUAGUGUGAAUUUUAUACCUAUAUACCUUGUCAGUUCUAAUAAUAAAUGCCAUUUAGCAGGCAUCAUUUCUCCAAAGUAAUUUACAGUGAAGUGUGCAUACAUUAAUGUAUGGGCUGCCCCAGCAGAAUAAAACGGAACCCCCAAUACUGAUGUUCUCAUGCUUCACACAGUGAGACAUUCCAUUGUAUGUACCUCACUUCCUCCUCAAUUUCAUAGUACAUGUGCCUUUACCUCAUUUUAGUGACUACUAUGGAACAUUGGCAAACCCAAUCCUAUUUCCACAGUAGAGAAAAAUUACAGAUAAUCAUUAUCAUGGCCUUGAAGAAUAGAAUCCUAACUUGAGACCCACGCAUGUAAAGUUAUAUUUUCAAGCCAACCUUCCAAGAAAUUGAUGUAAUGUGACAUAAAUACAUCUCAAAUUAGCAAUUAGAGCCACUCUGACUGAAAUUGCUUUUGGUCACAACAAGGUAUUUUUUUCACUUACUGUCUGAACAAGGACAUUAUUUCAUUGGAAUUAAGCAAAGUGUUACGAAAACUGAAUAAUGUUAAGAACUAUAAUGUUGUAGCAAUAAUGAACUAAUAGAAAUUUUGUGAUUUAUAAAUAUUUUAUAUUCUAUGACAAACAUUUAUUCUGAUCACACGUCACAAGGUAAUACUGUAUAGAACACACAAAUUCUAUGGUAGGACUCCAACUAGAUGCAUGACCUGAACAAUGAAUCAUGAUGGAAGCAUUCUAAGAUGUGGUCAAAAUGUGAAAGCAGUAAUAUAGUUCUGUUUUUUCAUUCUAUGAUUUUCUGGCCUGCUUUAUCUGUCUGUCGUCAUGCAUAGGAUUUUUCUAAAUUAGCACGGAAGCUAGGGUUCAGUGUUCAUUUUGGGUUUUGAGAAAUCCUGGUUGGAACUUUUUUUCAGAAUCAGAGGGGAAUAUCGAUGAAACCUGAGUCCUAUUCAAAUAACAUCUACAGUGAAUAAACAAAUCCCUGAAAAUACAUUUCACCACCCUAUCCAUAUUAGUGCAGCUAUGCUGAAAUGGUGAUCUUGUAUAUUAAUGCGAGUAUGAAAUUGAUUACAGGUCCCUUUCAUCACAUAAAAAUAUUUAGUGGAUUGUAUUUGUGUAUUCAUUAACAUUAUUUACUAAUGUUAUCCUGCUUCCCAAUUUGUUUUGUUGCUGUGAAACUGUACAGUAGAGAAACACAAUUCUUGGCAAAACAGGUAAUCAAAUGAAAGCACUGCAAAUUAACGCAGUGUUGUAACGUUCCCCCACUUUCUGGCCUUGUUGUAAACCCACUUUCUGGCCUUGAGAAAAUAAAAUAAACAUUUGGGGGCUGUGAAAGGCAACAUUGCUGUGAAAGGCAACAUUUCCCCUAAGGUUUAUAAACACACUAUUCAUAGACCAGGUUGCUAGGGUUGCCUUAUCUAUUCUGAAUUUCUUGGUGUCACAGAUCCCAAACUUCUGUCUCUGAACUUAAUCUCUAGCAUGCAGCAGAUGUGAACGUCAGCCCUGCACAUUACACAUCUGGACUUUUGACCCUUUGUCUCCACUGAACUCUCCCUGCACAAGUGCAUCGACAAUAGUGAACCCAUCUGAAAUUGGGUGUACCGAAACCUACAUAUGUUGUUUAUGUUCAAGACAGGUAGUACAGCGUGCUUGUUACCUGUACAGGCCCUAUGAUGGCUCUGGUUCCUAGGGACUUGGCACACCAACAAUGGCUUCUGAAUGAUUUAUUUUUAGCUUCUGGUACUUAUCAGCAUUGUUGAUUAAAUAGCAACCUGCUGUGUUUUUAUUUAGUUCAUGGCUCAGUGUAACCUGUAUUGUCCAUGCUUGUUUGCCCUGUUAAUUUCAUGUGAUAGGUUACCUUAGUACAUUGUAUACCAUGUUCUGUCUAUUAGCCUAAUGUGUAGUUACCUUUCACUACUGCCUAGCCAUCUCGGCUGUUAUCUCUGUACUGUUUCUAUAACAUUUGUAUUAUGGCUAGCCUAUUAGUCCUGCAAUUUCUUGACAGUUCCUAUUUCAUUACUGCAAGCCUCUAUUGCUAUGCUGCUUUGACCCUGUCAUUACACUAUGUGCUAAUGCAAUGUACCACUGCUAGCAUAGCACUGUUCAACUGAUCAAUGAAUCAAAACAUUUCUAAGAUAACAUUUCUUCAGUGAUGUGGGAAAUAAUUUGAUAAACUUAAACAAAUGAUGAGAAUGAUUUAGAACAAAUACUAAAAAUGAUUAACAAAUAAUUAAAUACCAAUAGACCUGAGAGCUACAUGCUGGAAACAAAAUAACUGAUAUACAGUGGGGAGAACAAGUAUUUGAUACACUGCUGAUUUCGCAGGUUUUCCCACUUACAAAGCAUGUAGAAGUCUGUAAUUUUUA